rnacentral:rRNA from 1 species
GAUGAACGCUGGCGGCGUGCUUAACACAUGCAAGUCGAACGAGCCUUCGGGCUAGUGGCGGACGGGUGAGUAACGCGUGGGAAUCUGCCCUCAGGAGGGGGAUAACGGCCGGAAACGGCCGCUAAUACCCCAUAUGCCGAGAGGUGAAACGAAUUUCGCCUGGGGAUGAGCCCGCGUCUGAUUAGCUAGUUGGUGAGGUAAUGGCUCACCAAGGCUUCGAUCAGUAGCUGGUCUGAGAGGAUGAUCAGCCACACUGGGACUGAGACACGGCCCAGACUCCUACGGGAGGCAGCAGUGGGGAAUUUUCCGCAAUGGGCGCAAGCCUGACGGAGCAACGCCGCGUGAGGGACGAAGGCCUCUGGGCUGUAAACCUCUUUUCUCAAGGAAGAAGACAUGACGGUACUUGAGGAAUAAGCCACGGCUAAUUCCGUGCCAGCAGCCGCGGUAAUACGGGAGUGGCAAGCGUUAUCCGGAAUUAUUGGGCGUAAAGCGUCCGCAGGCGGCCUUGAAAGUCUGUUGUUAAAGCGUGGAGCUCAACUCCAUUUAAGCAAUGGAAACUACAAGGCUAGAGUGUGGUAGGGGCAGAGGGAAUUCCCGGUGUAGCGGUGAAAUGCGUAGAUAUCGGGAAGAACACCAGUGGCGAAGGCGCUCUGCUGGGCCAUAACUGACGCUCAUGGACGAAAGCCAGGGGAGCGAAAGGGAUUAGAUACCCCUGUAGUCCUGGCCGUAAACGAUGAACACUAGGUGUCGGGAGAAUUAACCCUUCCGGUGUCGUAGCCAACGCGUUAAGUGUUCCGCCUGGGGAGUACGCACGCAAGUGUGAAACUCAAAGGAAUUGACGGGGGCCCGCACAAGCGGUGGAGUAUGUGGUUUAAUUCGAUGCAACGCGAAGAACCUUACCAGGGUUUGACAUCCUGCGAAUCCCUUGGAAACGAGGGAGUGCCUUCGGGAACGCAGUGACAGGUGGUGCAUGGCUGUCGUCAGCUCGUGUCGUGAGAUGUUGGGUUAAGUCCCGCAACGAGCGCAACCCACGUCUUUAGUUGCCAGCAUUCAGUUGGGCACUCUAGAGAGACCGCCGGUGAUAAACCGGAGGAAGGUGUGGAUGACGUCAAGUCAUCAUGCCCCUUACAUCCUGGGCUACACACGUACUACAAUGCUACGGACAAAGGGCAGCAAACUCGCGAGAGCUAGCAAAUCCCAUAAACCGUGGCUCAGUUCAGAUCGUAGGCUGCAACUCGCCUACGUGAAGGAGGAAUCGCUAGUAAUCGCAGGUCAGCAUACUGCGGUGAAUACGUUCCCGGGCCUUGUACACACCGCCCGUCACACCAUGGAAGUUGGCCAUGCCCGAAGUCGUUACUCCAACCCGCAAGGGAGGAGGACGCCGAAGGUGGGGCUGAUGACUGGGGUGAAGUCGUAACAAGGUAGCCGUACCGGAAGGUGCGGCUGGAUCACCUCCUA